GGAGGGAUCUCUGCCUCUGAAGCCUGGCCUCCACUCAUCAAAGGGAAAGAAAAGGUCACUGGCGUCUGGGGCUGCCUGGAACCUAGUGAACUGAGCCGGGAGGUCACCGAUUCACCCUCUGGCUGUAGAGACCCAUCUCAGGAGGUGAUUCAUAUCCUAAUGGAGGGGAGGAGGGGGCCAGAUAAUGAGCAGCUGUUUCCCCUGCUCUCCCGGUAGGGCCCUGCCUCCAGGCCAGGGGCAGGCAAUGGAAGGAAAUGAUCUGAGGGUUCAACGUGAGGCCUGAAUGGGGUGAAGCGGUUUGUGCCACAUGAAGGGAAACAGGGGUGCGGCUGGCUUGGGAGUUAUUAAGGUCGCACCUGGCCCAUUUUUCACAGAGCAUCUUCCUUCACUGGCUUCCCGAGCUGGUGCUCUGAGGGGUGAUAGGUGAGGUGAGGGGGCUGCAGGGCUGUUUCGUCUGGUCUUUGGAAGGGCAUGCCGCAGGCCCCGGAAAGGGUUCUUUCUGGAUGUGGAGGACGUAUGCUCAGGAGGUGUUUAAAGCAAACCAGAAAUGGUAUCGGUAGCCAACUUACUACGUUAUAAGCCUUGCCACAUGCUAACAACUCUCAGCCCUCACAACCCUCCGUGGUGAGUUGUCUCAUUAGCCUCAUCCUGCAAAUGGGGAAACUGAGCCGAGGGCAGGUUGCGCAACUUGCUAGAGGCCAUAUUAGUAUUAAGAACCAGGAUUUGAACCCGGGCUGUAGGUGCUGGUGCUGUCCCAGCACUGUACUGACACGGAAGUCAGUGGCGGGUUAGGUGAACCACAGGGGGAAGGCAGGGUAUGGCUUGGUCUGAGCUCUGGGAGGCAGAGUUGUGGGAGGUGGUUGGCUCAGGAGCGAGUUCAGGCCAGAACCAAGUACCUAAAGUUCAACUGUCUUGCAGACAGAGGCCAAGAGCCUCAGAGGCGGCACCGACUCAUUUUACGGAGUAUGGUCCUGGCGAUUUCUGCCAGUUGCCCCAGCUCCAUGCAUGAUAUUUGGGUGACGGAGAUGAGGCUACCUCCUGGUCCUGCCAUGGUCCCGUAUGCGUCAGAGGAUUCUGAUUCCCGGGAAAGAGGAAAACAGCUUUAGACACAGGCUUGGCACGGCGUGCGAUCCAGUUCCAAACCACAGUCACUGUGUGACUUUGGGUCAGCCUAGAUUUGAGUGGAGGAAACUGAGAGCACAACUCUCGAUGGGAGACUCAUCAGCGUCACAGCAUAAGGACACCUGGGAUGAGAGACCUUGUUGCGGCCAUCUUGGAAAAUACAAUCUACCACGCUGCCCAACCAGGAAGAAUUUCCAGAAGGAAGGCUGUGGCCUGACUGCCAGGGGUGAAGUUGCUAGUGCACAGAGAAGCACAAGUCCCUUGAGAAGAAGCUUUGGGUAUGAGCUGGGGGAGAGGGGUUCUGUCACUGCUAAGCUAGUUCUUGAAACUCUGGGAUUCCAAAAUUGGAUUAGAUUCUCAGAGGCGGGCAAUGGGGUAGAAAAAUGGAAAAAGGGGAGAACAGAGCCUGGCAUUAUGGGAACCUGUUAGGUUUAGGAAGUAGCAUUUAGUGUUUCUCUGGUGAUGUUCUGGUCUUCUUCCUUAAGCUUCCUUAAGCUUCCUUAGUCUCCUUAAGCUACUUGAGGAGGGCCCUGGGAACCCAGGGGAUGGAGAUACACUCGUGUCAGAGGUCAGUAGGCACCCUGGUGCCAGGUGAGUGUGGCUUCAGCCUUCUCCCGGCAUUCCUGUCCCACCCCCAAAGUAGAUGGCCAUUCCUAAGCCUCAGGAGGCAACAGGCUGGUCUCCUCUCCGAUAUGUAUGCUUGGGACAAGCCCACCUCCCGCAGAAAUAGAAAUCACCAUACAUGGCCACCAUCCCACCUAUUCCUAAAAGCCUAACAAGUAUGAGAGUGAGUUUGGAAUUAGUCUUACAGAAAUAAUUCUCCGGGUGGAAACAGAGUGAAAUCUAUGGAAAUAUACAUGAUCGCUCACCAUGAAAAAUAAAAGAGGGAGCUCUCCCUGCUCCACCCCCCUGUGAAUGAGGCAGAGAUUAAUCUUUUGAAAUCAAAUGUAUAAAUUAUACAUGGAUGGGAACUGGCUCAGGCAGGAGGUGUCUGAUAGGGUGCUGAUGGAAAUGAAAAUGAGGCUUGAAAGAUCAUUUCUGCUUUUGAAUCAGCUCCAGCAUUGCUGGUGCUCCUGGGCCCCCCCUGGAGGAAACACCCUGACUUAUCCAAUCAGAAAACAUCCCAUCCCCAAACCCUUGGAACACACACCUUCAAAGCAAUUGCUAAUGUUUUGGAUGAUAUUUCUGUGCGUCACCAGGAAUGAUAAAAAGGCAAUAAAAGUUUGAAGGCCCAUA